AACGUAGGUUCCGAGCGUUAUCCGGAUUUACUGGGCGUAAAGCGCGUUCAGGCGGUUUGGCAAGUCGGGCAUGAAAUCUCUCGGCUCAACCGGGAGAGGUUGUCCGAUACUUCCAGACUUGAGGGCAGUAGAGGGUGGUGGAAUUCCGGGUGUAGUGGUGAAAUGCGUAGAUAUCGUAAGGAAGACCAGUGGCGAAGGCGGGUCUCUGGACAGUUCCUGACGCUGAGGCACGAAGGCCAGGGGAGCAAACGGG
rnacentral:rRNA from 1 species